rnacentral:lncRNA from 1 species
CCCAGCCGAUCGAAAGUGGAGAGCGGCUGGCUUUUCUGGAACAUACCCUAGCGGAAAUUGCCGAUGGUGACCUUGAAUCUCUUAAGAACAUACAUGUUUUGACGAUGAUCAUAGGUCCCUUUAAGAACUCUUCCGCUUCUUUUGAUGUUAUCAAGUACACUGCAUCUCUACUCUUCCUACCUUUUGUUAUUGAUGACGUUUCAACUAAAGAUAGGGACCUCAUCCGACAGGUUUAUAAUGAGGCUGAGUUGGUGCCAAAUCUAGUCUACUCAACCAAGCUGCUUCUAUGGAAAUUAAACGAAUUACCAGCCGAGCAUCUACAGACGUUAGAAGUGGUUCUCCUCCUGAUCACGAAUCUCGUUUACAACAGCGAUGACUCUUUAAAUCAAUUCAUUGAUUCUGCAAUGCAGCUGAAAAUGACACCGUCAUACAGUCUAUUCUCUCCCUACGCAAACAAAACCUGAAGAUUGUAUCAGACCUACUCUCCAUUUUGUGCCAAAUUUUAAGGAAGAAACCGCAAUUCGCCAGUUCGUUAGUGAUUUGGUUCUUGGGGAUGGUCAGAAAGGUAAUGUUUUUAAUGAUUGAGUCCAGUGUUCGAAACUCACUCUAGAGUUUCAGGAGCCACAUGGCGGAUCAAGCUUAAUUUUUAGGGGCCAGAUUUACUCUUUGUCUAUAUAUUAAGGCGCAUUUGGUGAGAAGUUAGACGCAAGAUGUUUUAGUUACAAAACUAGCAACUGUAACUUGGGGGAAAUUUCGAAAAAUCUCCAAACAGAAAAAUGAGGAUUUUUUUUGGGAGGGUUGGGGGAGAGGCAAUUUUUAGGGGCCACGUUGGUGCAGAGCCCUCAUUUUUUAGGCGCCAUGACCGACUUCUUAGGCGCAUUUGGCGCGUUGGUGCCUGUGAGUUUUGAGCGCUGAUUGAGUCAUAUUGAUAACUAAACUCCGAAAUUUUUUAUUGUGGAAGUCAAGAUUUUUCAGAGGAUUUGGAAUACCUUAAAAUCUUCCUCUUUUGGUCAUGCACAGAAGUGUCAGAAAUUUUGGGUUUAUAGUUAUUCCAAAUUAAAGUUGGGUCACCAAUUUGCAUAAUCCGAGCUGCAUAUUAAAGAUUUUAUGUUAUAUUUGUGACCGAAUCUGUGAAAAAUGACCUUAUCUUUAGGGAGAAAACUACCCCUAUUUUUUUGCAAAAACUUGACCACACUUUUCUACAAACUAAGAACUUUUUUUGGAACUUCAGGGCUCAAAUCACCCUCAGUUUUUGAGUUUUCAGGGUCAAACCUGAGCAAAAAUUUCCAGAUUAUCUUACUGAAUGCAUUUGAAAAAAGUUAUGGAUGAUUUUCUCACCGAAGAUAAGGUUCUGUUUCACAGAUCCAAGCAUAUUUUUACAAGGAUGACUUUGCCAAGAAGGCUGAACGAAUUUCAGCCUUUUCAAUAAAUUCCUUGGUGACAUGGCAUCUCUUUGUGUAUAUGGACUCUGUAAAACAUUUUCCCCUGUCUUUCUGAAGUUUUCAGUGCAUGUAUUUCAGUAUAGUGUAUUUGCAUUUUAUUUUAUGGAUUUUGUGUCAUUUCAGAUUCUGUGAUGCCUGUUGAUAUUCAUAGUAUACUAAUCAGUUCAGACGAUUGUUUAAGAGAGAGAGGUACUACUUUACUGCAUCUGAUGGCUCAGGUUUGUCCAGACUCUUUGAACGCUGUUUGGAAUGAAACUCUUCGAUGUGACAUCGAAGCUCUGGACUAUGAUUCUUGUGUUGCCGUUAGAAAUGUAAGUUUAGCAUUCUUCUCUUAUAGCUAAAACUCGUUGAUUUAGUGUCAAUACGACACACCCGUGUCUCUCAUUUGAUAUGGGUCAAAUUCAAACGUUAUCAUCUUGUUCAAAAGUUGCGCUUUGUUGUUGAUAAAACCUAGGGGAUCAUAAAUGAAUUCUAUCUAGCAGAAGGGAACCGAGGGGAUUACAGUGUUAUAAUAAUAAUCGUUCAUCUUCAUCUCAAUCUAGAAAUAAGUGUAGGACAGAAAAUAGUUUUUGGUUUUCUAAAACAAAAUUGUUAAUUCUACAGGAAAUUGAUCAUUUAAAUUUUAUUACCGUACAAAUGUCCAGUAUUUUUUAAAGGAAAAAAGAAGUUGUACAAUUUAGAAAAAACUUUGUUGCACUGCCGCUAAAUGCAAUCCAAAUCAAAUAACUUUUAAUCUUUUAUUUUAUGCUGUCCUCACACACCCAGUAAGGUUCCAGAAUGUUGGGUUGUGCAACCCCCCUCUCCUAUUAGGGUUGUCUUGAGAAAUGAAAUGACAAGAAAUUACUUACUUCAUCAUCGAUAAGAAAUGAUGAAUAUCUGCAGUAGAAAUAUCUUAAGAUUCUUAGUUCUUUUGUCAAAAAUUUCAUAAACUUCUUCAAGAAAUUUGCUGCUAAACCCUCCUUCUCCCCAGUAUUGCGUAUCAUAUGGAAGGCCGCUUUCCAGGAGUAUUUUCAAAAAGAAAGCAAGCAGCUUUAAUCCACUUCUCCCAUCUUAAAAUCUCGGUAGACGAUAUCUUGGAUUGUUUUUGGUGAUAAGAAGUUGUUGUCCAGUUUUUGUUUUAUCCAUUCGUAUUUUUUUUCUUUUAUUACAGGCUGCCUCAAGUGCAUUAGUUUCUUUGAAAAAGAUGCCGAACUAUCGUUUAGAUCAUCCUUGAAGGUAUUUAUUGCUAAGAUAAGGAAUUUUUGGAUCUCUAACUGAUAAGUGUAUCUCUCCAUGUAUUCAGUAUUUUCUGAAAAAUAUACAUGCCUUACAAGUUGCAAGGCUGUGUGAUAAUGAUGAUCUCCGCAAGAAGAUAAUAUAAAAGAUCAAUAAGUAUGAACAAUUUUUGUGCAUUUCCAGGUUGCAAAAAUAUUGCAAUAUUUCUUUCCAAAAGGCGUUUUAGUUGCAAUGAAGUAGUAUUAAGGAAAUCACCUGUAUUAUUCAAUGAAGAAAGUAUUAAUUCUGACGUAAAUUUUUGUGACUAAUCGUGACAAUAUCCUUAUAAAGAAAAAAAAAACUGUAUGACAAUCAAAAAGUAUUACUUUUAAGUCCUUAGAUAUCCUUUUUAAUUUUUUAAACGGUGCCAUGCCUUUAUCAUCGCGUUUUCAACUGAAAACUAGUGUCCUUUAGAAAAGCAAUGAGCAAUGUUUGUGCUCUGCUAAGUUAAACCCUACAAAAUCUGAAACUUUUUCACUCUAAACUUAUGUAAAAAUCUGUGAUCAAAAUGAGAAAUUCACGACUGUAUUUAUAGUUGUUUCUUAAUUAUCCUUACAUUUGUGAAUAAAGGAGGCGUAGUAAUAAGCAGGGGUUCAGUAUUGAACUUACUGACCACAUAACCAGCCUGGCCAAGUCUCUGAAACCACCCUCCGCAACCAUGUAAAUCAUGUGUGGAUCCUCCAGCCUCCCUACGGAAGGGAUCUGCUUGAGGAACGACCAUACGUCGGAUGAAUUUGACUAGAAUCAGCCUACCUAUAUUUUACAGUGCCUAAUUUCAACUCAAUUUUUUUCAGCAGAAAAGCAAACAAAUAUACCCCCUCUAAUGAUAGGUAUAUAAUGAAAAUUUCCUCUGGAUUUUUAAGAAUAUACCUACUCACUAAUUUUCGAGUCAGAAUUUUGAUUGGUUUUCAGUCUAAAAAAUUAAACGUGAGAGAAAAUUAGACCUGGUCUGGUGUAGUUAGAUUGAUUUUGUGUAAUCAAAUCUGUCCAGCAAGUAUGACUUACAGUAAAAAUUACAUUUAAGUGAUUGAGAGAAAAAUAAUCUUCGCCUCAAGUUUAAAAUAUGUUAUUUUUAGUGAUGUUUUGUAUUUUUCGCUGUGAGUAAAAAUUGGUGCCAAUUUUUUCCAAUUUUAUAUUGUUGUCCCUUUUUCUGAUAGAAAUAAAGGUGAUGAAUGAAUGAAACAUAUUUCUUCUUUGAUUGUGAUGAAAUCCCUGACAGCUAUUUUUGCUUUAUUUGUUUAUCACCCAGACUUC